UACGGAGGGGGCGAGCGUUAUUCGGAAUUAUUGGGCGUAAAGGGCGCGUAGGCGGCUAUUCAAGUCAAAGGUGAAAUCCCUCGGCUCAACUGAGGAACUGCCUUUGAAACUGAAUGGCUUGAGUCCGGGAGGGGGUAGCGGAAUUCCCAGUGUAGCGGUGAAAUGCGUAGAGAUCGGGAGGAAGGCCGGUGGCGAAGGCGGCGCUCUGGAACAUUUCUGACGCUGAGGCUCGAAAGCGUGGGGAGCAAACAGG
rnacentral:rRNA from 1 species